rnacentral:lncRNA from 1 species
CCCUCUGCCACAAGGCUAGUCUGUCAGGUCAGCCAAAUCCACUGAAGCCAUACUGGAAGAACCUUGUGACCCUCUCACAAGAGCUCCCACAGCGCCCAGUGCCUGGCAUGUGCUCCACAGACACACGAAGAAAUGAAGGCGGGUACAGGAGAGGAAGGGGACAAGAGGACAGAGGAAGGUCAGAAUGGCCUGCUUCACCAAUUGCCCCCUGCCCUGCCAUCCACCGCCAACUCCAGGCCCCACGAUGGCCCACCAGGGCACCAGACCAUGUGCAAGGCUGUGGAUCCGGUCGUGGGAAGCAGCUUUCUGUGCCUCAGCCCUCCACAGAGAAGACUGCUAGGCCUGAGCUGACUCCCCUGGAAACCCCAGACUCCAGUGACGUGCUUCUGGAACCUGCUCAGACAAAGUUAGGUAAGAGCCUGGGCAGUGGGUGGGUUGCAACACCCAGCCUGGCUGACCAGAAAGCUGAAGAGGACUGGAAGUUCAAGAAGAAGUAGAGAGGAGGUGGAGAGAGAGAAAGGGCAGAAGGAGGAGACAUCGAAGACCUCCCGAACAUCUUCUGUGGGAUCUCAGAGAAGGCAAAGCUCACCCUCCUGACUCCAGGACUCAUUUGUGUCCAGCCACUGAAUUAUCUACUUGUUACCCCUCCUGUGGAUCUCUCCCGAGGGAAAGAUCUACCUUGGAAGGCUGGUAAUAAAAGAUAUUUGAAGUGUUUCAUGAUCACGAUAAGAAUUACCGCCACCCACAGUAUCCAUCGCAGUGGGCAGAGCCCGUGGCAGUGAGCAUGCAGCUUGGCUCCCCAGCUCUGGUCCCAUCUCUACUGCUCUGGAGCUAUGGCACUUGGAAAAGUUUCUUCGCUUCUCAAGCCUCAGUGUCCUCAUCUGUAAAAUAAGGAUAAUAAUAGGACUUUCCUUAGAGUAUUUUUGUGAGGCUUACAUGAGUUAAAAUGUAAGGUGCUUAGUGUAAUGCUGGGCACACAACGAGUACAACAUAAGCAUCAGAUUUUUCUUCCUAUUUCUCAACCUGUGACACUCAGCUGUCAUCUCUGUGAAACUUUCCAGGACACUGUCCCCAUGUCUAAUCCAUCUAUCAAGACUGGGCCAAGGAGAACUGGGCGCUCCAUCCUGACUUCCACCUUGCUUAAUUGUGUAGCAUAACUAUUUGUCUGUCUGUCUGCCUGACUAUACUGCUCUCUUAUUUAUCUUUGUGUCCCUGAUGUCUGGCAAUGAUAGGAAUGUAAGAAUCAUUGUGGAUGACUGAAAGAACAAACAAAAAAAUGAACAAGUGAACGUCCCUCCUGUCUCCAGUGCAUCCACUAGUGUUUUCUCCCAUCCCCCCUCCUCUUUCCAGGCGCCCUGGACUAUUAGACUGGCUUAAGUCCCUCCAAUCACAGAAGAAAUACUUGACCAAGAGUCAUUACUCUAAACAAACACUCUUUCGGGGUUGUAAAAGAAACCCAUAUGUAGAAGGCAAGGUUAACACAAAGGAAAGAGUCUCUAAUGGUAGAAUCUAAGAUUCUAAGGCACGCACGUGUGCACACGCACACACACCAUCUAUCUCUGCUCAGAGGGAUUAUCUCAGCAAGUGAGACAUAUUGGAAGGUAAUGUGGGAACAGAGCUCUCAGGGAAAAAGUUGUGAAUGUUCUUUGAAGAGUUGUGCGUGAGUCACAUUUUUAAAAAACACAAAUCAUAUUCCUAGUGAAUAAAAGAAUGUUUUUAAUUUACUGGAGGACCUGGCUAGUUAAAUCUUAUUGUGAACUCUUUAUUAAAGACUGAAGUAAGGAAUUCUUUUGUUAAGUAAAUAUUCAGGCCCUUCCUUGCCAAAGAGCUUUUGAAAUCUUUGCUGUAAUUAUGCUGAUGUUUUCUGUGUUUAUAUGUUAAAUGCCUAGAGCUUAAUUGUUAAUGGGUAAAUAAGAGGAGCCACACGGUCCUUGCCAAGAGAGGCCCAAGAACCAGGGCUGUAAGAACAAUGGUUCCGCGGGGCUCCCCUGGAGGGGGUGAAAGGCAGUAGGGUAAGCCAGCGGCUUGGGCUCUUCUCUGUAGGCACG